ACGGAUGGAGCAGCUUCCUCCAAGAAGAAGAACGGAGGGCCGGAGCAGCCGUCACCACCAAAUCGGAGGUAGUUUGGGCCUCACCACUGCCACCUAAAGCAUCGGCCCAAAAGAGCAGAGCUGAUCGCGCUGACCCAGGCCCUCUGGAUGGCGGAAGCCCGGAGGACCAGGAACUAACAAAGAAAAUGGGGGCGGAAUGGAGCCCCGAGCGACAAGCUUACAUCAUGGAUGGACAGAGGCCUUCCUUACCAAGAAGGAGACCGCUAACGUGGUAACCAAAAAACUCCUGGAUGACAUCUUUCCCAGCCCUACCCUAGAGGCGCACCUCCAAGCCCUCCAAUUGAUACAAAAGACGGUGUGAAAACCCCUGCCUACCGGGAGCAACUAAACCGCCCGGUGGGGCCUCACCCAUUCAAGAUUGGGGACUCUGUCUGGGUCCGACGCCAUCAAUCCAGGAACCUAGAGCCGAGGU